rnacentral:rRNA from 1 species
GACGAGCGCUGGCGGCGUGCCUAAUACAUGCAAGUUGAGCGCUGAAGGUUGGUACUUGUACCAACUGGAUGAGCAGCGAACGGGUGAGUAACGCGUGGGGAAUCUGCCUUUGAGCGGGGGACAACAUUUGGAAACGAAUGCUAAUACCGCAUAAAAACUUUAAACACAAGUUUUAAGUUUGAAAGAUGCAAUUGCAUCACUCAAAGAUGAUCCCGCGUUGUAUUAGCUAGUUGGUGAGGUAAAGGCUCACCAAGGCGAUGAUACAUAGCCGACCUGAGAGGGUGAUCGGCAACAUUGGGACUGAGACCCGGCCCAAACUCCUACGGGAGGCAGCAGUAGGGAAUCUUCGGCAAUGGACGAAAGUCUGACCGAGCAACGCCGCGUGAGUGAAGAAGGUGUUCGGAUCGUAAAACUCUGUUGGUAGAGAAGAACGUUGGUGAGAGUGGAAAGCUCAUCAAGUGACGGUAACUACCCAGAAAGGGACGGCUAACUA